rnacentral:lncRNA from 1 species
UUACCUCUCUACACUUCCCCAUCUCAGAGAAAAUUUCAAGUCCUGAUAGUGGCUUAAAUGACCCCACAGGCAGUCUGAUUUCUCCCUCUUCCUGCCCCACCCCCACUGUCUGCAUUCACCCACUCAACCCUUUUUGUUCUAAUACUUCAGCCUCCUUGCUAAUAAUGUCAUCCAGCCAAGCUCCAGCAUCAGGCAUUUCAUAUUUGCUAGAACUUGCCUCUCUUCCCAGUUCUGCAUUCACCAGUUCACCUGACUCAAGUCUCUGUUCCACUGCCACCUUCACAGUGAGUUCUCAGUGAGACAUUUUAAAUGUUGUAUUAUUUUUUUAAAUUGAAGUAGAGUUGGUUUACAAUGUUUCAGGUGCACAGCAGAAUGAUUCAGGUGUGUGUGUGUGUGUGUGUGUGUGUGUGUGUGUGUGUGUUUAUGUGUCUCCUAGGCAGUUCACCACCCACUCACCUGGAAACUCACUUACCUACAUGAGGUUCUGUGUCUCUCCUUCUCUCCAAGUGCCUCUUUUGAAAUAAUUAAUCUAUCAAAUUAUAUGUCCAUGUAAACACAUAUAUAUACACAUUUUUAAAUCAUAAAGAAGCCUCAUUUUAUUUGGGGUUAACAGAAACAUGUCCAAGUAGUCUUAUCAGAAUAAAGAACUAUUACUGAAUUGGCAUUAGACAUAAUACACUGGGACUCAGUAGGGAAUGUUCAGUGUUCAUCUAAACACCUAACUUAAAGCCUGGGAGUAGCAGAUGGAAAAGUUUCACAAUCAACAACUUAAAAAGGCAACACAGGAGUUUGCAUCGUGGCUCAGUGGUUAACGAACCGACUAGUAUCCAUGAGGAUGCAGGUUCGAUCCCUGGCCUCACUCAUUGGGGUAAGGAUCUGGCGUUGCCAUGAGCUGUGGUAUAUAGGUUGCAGAGGUGGCUCGGAUCCUGUGUUGCUCUGGUUGUGGCACAGGGCAGCAGCUGUAGCUUUUGACCCCUAGCCUGGGAACCUCCAUAUGCUCGGGGUGCGUCCCUAAAAAGCUAUGCUUUGCUGGUGGAAUUUGUAAAUUACAUAGAGGUGAUUACCCUGCCCAAGGCUGUUUCCCCUUCUGGUGUUUAGUACAAUAGAAUGUCCUCCAGUAUUUUUAAAACAUCGUUAAACUUGUUUUACUACUGACUGAGAUUUUAAGCAAGGUGGUCAGAGAGGAUCUCCUGACCUUAGACCUAAUUGUAUUUACGUUUAUGUUCAGAUUUAAGCUCAGCAGAUCGACUGUAUUAAACAGUUCCAAGUUCACUGUUAAUUGCAGUGAAGAAGGAACAUUGCUUUCAGGAAGCUGGAACCCUCAAGGAGCAGUGCAGCUUACAAAGGACUGUGGGCCAAUGAGAAGUUCAUCCUGUCCAGGGGAACAGUGAUAUAUACCUUUGGGAAGUCAUCAAGCAAGAGCAAGCAAUAUGCAUGAUUUAAGAAGAUCUUAAAAGAAAAGCUGUUUUCUCUGGUUUAGAUAAAUGAACAGAUGUGGCUGGUCUGAUGUGUUUUGACAAAGUGCUCCAAAGACGUGGUGCUUAAAAGGCUGAAAAGCUACCGCUCCGGCAAUUUCCAUCUUCUAAGAGCCAUGCUGCUGAUUUCACAGGUCUCAUGCAGGAUAUGAAAGCAGUUUAUGAAAGUGCAAAGGGACAUGAGCAAUUGCAGAGCCACGAGUAAAAAUGUGGGAUUUUACAUGCAAUCAGCCAUGUUAUAAAAACUGCUUUGGUAAAAUAGACAUCAAAUUCUAGCUCUCCCAAGCAUGGCAAAGGCAGUGGGCUCACAAUAGGAUGGAUACAAAUUGAUUAAAUAGGGUGGGAUAAAUUUAAGAGAAAUUGCAAUCUUCUGUGAAAUAGGAGGGAAAAAAUGUGUGCAUACACAUUCACAUACCUAUCCAUCCAGGUACAAAAGCAAAAGUCUAGUACAGGUUAACUUUUUUUUUUUUUUUUUUACCAGCGUUGUAUUUUAAGUAAGUUAAUUUAAGAUGAAACUUUUACCCAGGCGUGCCACAGGGGAAACAAAUCUGAAUAGGAACCAUGAGGUUGUGGGUUUGAUCCCUGGCCUCGCUCAGUGGGUUAAGGAUCCAGCAUUGCCGUGAGCUGUGGUUUAGGUAGCAGACACGGCUCGGAUCUGGAGUUGCUGUGGCUCUGGCCUAGGCCGACGGCUACAGCUCUGAUUGGACCCUUAGCCUAGGAACCUCCAUAUUCCACGGGUGCAGCCCUAAAAAGCAACCAAAAAAAAAAAAAAAAAGAAAGAAACUCCCCCAAAGCUAGAUGAUUUAAGGUAUCCUUUACAGUCUCAUAGUUAGACAUCAGUCACAUUUAUUUGCUUGAUCCUAAAUCCCUAAAAAAUAGAUAACACAAGAGGAUAAGAGUUAUUUGGCAGUGGUGCACCAUUUAUAACUGUUUUUUUAGCCUUCACUCAUCUUUUCCAAGGAAAUGUAAAAAGCAUUACCCAAAGAAAAGAAAUUCUUCAUAUUCCAUUAUAACCUCAGAAAGAUAAACACAUAAAUGGUAGUUUUGUGAUCAUAUCAAUGUACUAAAUCAUAAACAUUUUUCCUUGGAUUGAAUCUACCUUCCUAACAGGUGUAAGUCUGCUUGGUCUAAGAUUACCCUCAUAUCACUGUUAAAAAUCAAAAACAAAAAUAACUUGCUUUUUGGGAGUUCCUGUUGUGGCACAGUGGAAAUGAAUCCAUCUAGGAACCAUGAGGUUUCAGGUUUGAUCCCUGUCCCUGCUCAAUGGGUUAAGGAUCUGGCGUUGCCAUGAGCUGUGGCAUAGGCUGGCAGCUACAGCUCUGAUUGGACCCCUAGCCUGGGAACCUCCAUAUGCCACAGUUGCAGCCCUAAAAAAAAAAGCCCCCCAAAAUAAAUAACUUGCUCUUCAAAGAACGUGUCUUGUUAGAGUUGAGAUUUAGUUGUCAUAGACACUGAGUUACAAAUCAUGAUCUGCUACAAAAACAGUGAGAUGUAAAGGCUCCCCCUGGAAAACCAUAGGACUGAAUCCACAAAUAAUCAUUGAACACUGUCUCAUUCUUCCCAACAUUGAAAUUAUUCUAGUCAAGGAAAACAUGGCAAAAGGCCAAUUAUUUCCUUAGUCAAAUAUUCUUAAAUGUGAAUCCACAGAUUUUCUAUGUUAAAAUGAGACCCUUUUAUAAAAGGGGGAUGUUUCAUUUCAGGUCAUUCAAAGUUAUCUAAAGCUCUUUCUAUUCCGUUCAGUGUUCUAAUUUAGUUGGAAGGAAAAGACAAACAAAUGUCUCUAAUAACACAACUGUCACGUCAAUAUUAUAAAAUUCUUUGAUUAUUUUUUAUUAUAAAGGGUAUCAAAAUUUGACCUUUAUAUAGCCCUCUACAUUUUUAAGUGUUUGAAGCUGUUGUCUAAUUUAAUUCUAACAAUGAUCAUGGGAGUUCAGUCUAAAUCCCUUGCUCUACUCAGAAAUAAUGGCCUCUGGUCAUGCCCCCAUAUUGGAUAGGAAAUGGAUGUUAUUAUUUAUGGAAAAAUAAUCUUAUUGGAAGCUGUUAACAGUUAAGGUGGUUGGUGUGUGAGUGUGUGGAGGUGUAAAUAUGUGAAGGUGGUACAGAGUCAGUUGGGGUUAUGUUUGGUUUUGCCUCCAUAUGGCAGUAGGACCGCUAGAAAUUUCCCUGUACACCACCUGGGCCCUCCAUUGCCUCACAUGAAUAACUUUACUUGAUUUGCAUUAUUAUUGAGAAGUUUUAGUGAAAUUGUGCAUGGAACUCACAUAGCAUGUUGUCUGGCACCUAGUAAAUAGUCUAGGUAUUAAUUUUAUGGGUAAUUAUAGCUGAGCACAGAAUAGUCAAGUGGGAAUUUAAAGGCAUUCUGAUAUUCUGAAAAGUCAUUAAUAAUGUAAAACUAUUGAUAGAGUUAUAAGUCCUUAAGUGGAGAAUCCAAGUUAAUUACUUUCCCAAAUUCUCUGAUUUGAGUCCAUCCAAGUUUAGCAACAUGAAGUUACCUAUUUCUUUCCUUUGUAUGGAUAUAGGACAUAAGAUGCCCAAAGCAACCCUGCAUUUAAAUAUAGAAAGUAGGAAACUGUAAAAGUAUAAUUGCUUCAGCCUCUGCCCUUCAAUAUCUGUUGACACUGCAAUAUAUUACAAUAGUCAGGUUUUCAGUUUACCUUGGUAGCUUGGGAAAUCUUAACACAUCAAAGUUGUGUUCAUCAAAGUUGGGACAUUCCUUCUGUCCUGAUUAAAAGUCACUUUUUAUAAGUGUGUCUUCCUUAAAUUCCUUGAGAGCAAGAGUCUAGCCAAGUCUUUUGCACACUCAAAUUGGCACUAAUAAAUGCUCUUGGACCCAAACUGAUUCAAAAGGGUGUACUGGAAAUUUCUAUACCAUUGAGUUCCCACAGGCUGGCUAUGCAAAAUAAAUCUUAUGAACCAUAUUGUCUUGUUUGCAGUCGUUGCUGUGAGCUGCGGUGUAGGUCAAAGACAUGGCUUGGAUCUGGCAUUGCUGUGGCUGUGGUGCAAACCUGUAGCUGCAGCUCUGAUUCAACUUCCAUGUGCUGGGAACUUCCAUGUGCUAUAGGUAUGGCCCUAAAAGC